rfam:Glycine soja cultivar W05 scaffold5757_16, whole genome shotgun sequence.
AAGUGUUACAUCAUCAUGUCUUAUCAUUGCACCUCAUUGUCAUAUUAUCACCUUCAAUGAUGUGGCAAUGACAUGUCAAUGAUUAGAUUUGAUGAUGUGACACUUUGU